rnacentral:rRNA from 1 species
UGCAAGUCGAGCGAGAUCUUCGGAUCUGGCGGCGGACGGGUUAGUAACGCGUGGGAACGUACCCAAAGGUAGGGAAUAGCCACUGGAAACGGUGAGUAAUACCCUAUGUGCCCUUCGGGGGAAAGAUUUAUCGCCUUUGGAUCGGCCCGCGUUAGAUUAGAUAGUUGGUGGGGUAACGGCCUACCAAGUCUACGAUCUAUAGCUGGUUUUAGAGGAUGAUCAGCAACACUGGGACUGAGACACGGCCCAGACUCCUACGGGAGGCAGCAGUGGGGAAUAUUGGACAAUGGGCGAAAGCCUGAUCCAGCAAUGCCGCGUGAGUGAUGAAGGUCUUCGGAUUGUAAAGCUCUUUCGACGGGGAAGAUAAUGACGGUACCCGUAGAAGAAGCCCCGGCUAACUUCGUGCCAGCAGCCGCGGUAAUACGAAGGGGGCUAGCGUUGUUCGGAUUUACUGGGCGUAAAGCGUGCGUAGGCGGCUUAUCAAGUCAGAAGUGAAAGCCCGGGGCUCAACUCCGGAAUGGCUUUUGAGACUGGUAGGCUGGAGUUCGGGAGAGGGUAGUGGAAUUCCCAGUGUAGAGGUGAAAUUCGUAGAUAUUGGGAAGAACACCGGUGGCGAAGGCGGCUGCCUG